UAUAUACUCCCUCCGUCCGGAAAUACUUGUCGGAUGAAUGGAUGUAUCAAACGUAUUUUAGUUCUAGAUACAUCCAUUUUUAUGCAUUUCUCCGACAAGUAUUUCCGCACGAAGGGAGUACGUU
rfam:Triticum aestivum genome assembly, contig: Triticum_aestivum_CS42_TGACv1_scaffold_502548_6BL